rnacentral:rRNA from 1 species
AACGAACGCUGGCGGCAGGCUUAACACAUGCAAGUCGAACGCCCCGCAAGGGGAGUGGCAGACGGGUGAGUAACGCGUGGGAAUCUACCUAGUUCUACGGAACAACACAGGGAAACUUGUGCUAAUACCGUAUACGCCCUACGGGGGAAAGAUUUAUCGGAAUUAGAUGAGCCCGCGUAAGAUUAGCUAGUUGGUGGGGUAAUGGCCUACCAAGGCGACGGUCUUUAGCUGGUCUGAGAGGAUGAUCAGCCACACUGGGACUGAGACACGGCCCAGACUCCUACGGGAGGCAGCAGUGGGGAAUAUUGGACAAUGGGCGAAAGCCUGAUCCAGCCAUGCCGCGUGAGUGAUGAAGGCCUUAGGGUUGAAAAGCUCUUUCAGUAGGGAAGAUAAUGACGGUACCUACAGAAGAAGCCCCGGCUAACUUCGUGCCAGCCGCCGCAGUAAGAC